CUGGCGGCGUGCCUAAUACAUGCAAGUCGAACGCACUCUCGUUUAGAUUGAAGGAGCUUGCUCCUGAUUGAUAACAUUUGAGUGAGUGGCGGACGGGUGAGUAACACGCGGGUAACCUGCCCUAAAGUGGGGGAUAACAUUUGGAAACAGAUGCUAAUACCGCAUAAAACCUAACACCGCAUGGUGUAGGGUUGAAAGAUGGUUUCGGCUAUCACUUUAGGAUGGACCCGCGGUGCAUUAGUUAGUUGGUGAGGUAAAGGCUCACCAAGACCGUGAUGCAUAGCCGACCUGAGAGGGUAAUCGGCCACACUGGGACUGAGACACGGCCCAGACUCCUACGGGAGGCAGCAGUAGGGAAUCUUCCACAAUGGACGAAAGUCUGAUGGAGCAACGCCGCGUGAGUGAAGAAGGUUUUCGGAUCGUAAAACUCUGUUGCUGGAGAAGAAUGUAUCUGAUAGUAACUGAUCAGGUAGUGACGGUAUCCAACCAGAAAGCCACGGCUAACUACGUG
rnacentral:rRNA from 1 species